rnacentral:misc_RNA from 1 species
AAUCUGAUUCUCACCAUUGCUCGGUUCCAUGAAUUAUCAGCACUGAAUUGAGCAAGAACCAUAUCACCCUUCUUGGGAUUAAAUGCACCAAUGACAGGAGCCUCCUGAAGAUUUAGAGAAGCAAGUUGCUUCUGAAUGGCAGCUACUUUCUGGUCGGAAACCAACUGAACGUAAAAUUUACCCCCACCCAGAAUUUCAGUGACAGUGACCUUCACCUCUUCUUUUUGGCGUCUUUCAGCUGUUCCACUACUGACAACUUCCUCUCCCUCGACAUAAUUCUCCCAUAUCUUCAAUUUCUGCCUUUUGGCGGCCUGUUCAGCUUGCAUGAGGAGGUGAACUUCGGCAAUUCUAUCAGUUCCAAAAGAAGUUUGAAGCUUUGCUAAACCAGCUUCCAGUAGAGUCACUGCCACAUUGGAUCUUGAUUCCCAUAAUGUUCCAAUGAAAGUCCCUGUUCUGUCAACUGUUUCUACCUCGAUCUCGACAUCCCUCUGCAUUAUCUUCCGCCUCAUCAAGGCAAUGGCUUCCUCAGAGUAGGGCUCGUCACGUCCUGGGCAUCUCACUCCAGAAAUAGAGAAAGCAAUGCUGCAAGUCUCCUUGGGAAUGAACAGUUUGAAUCUAUGACCACUGAGGACAUAUUCUACUACAGCAGACAUCCUCCUGUUGCGCUGCAAGAAAGGCAAAAAGUCUCUAGCUUUCUUUGACGCAGCCGUUAGCAGGUCUGUUACAUGCAUCACUGGAGCUUCUUUAGGAGAAUGAAUACCCUUUUUCCCAGAAGUAGCGCGUGAUUCUGCGGAGAGAAGGGCAUCGUAGUAGUUUGAACGUUCUUCAAAAUCACGAUGUCUGACAACAGUUGCAAAACCGCGGGCAACCAAAAGCUCAGCAACAUUGACUCCAGCCAACUGGCUGCCUGCAGCAGAUGGAGCAGGUGAUGCAUCAUCCCCAUCCUUGGAUGCCAGGAAUACAGUUCCAAAAUCCAUCACCCUUGAAUCUGCACCACUGGUGGGAGCAGCAGGUCCAUCUGCCAUGCCGACCUUCCGUGAGUACUCCAUGGAAACAUGAACCUGUUUUCCAAUAAGGCGAUUUCUCAAAAACUCCUUUGCUUCCCGAGCAUAGGGAGCAGGUUUCUCAUCUCUACGAGGAUUUCCCAUUUUAGGAGACCUAAUACUUGAAAGAUUGACUCUUCGUUCUGCUGAUGGAUCUCCAAAUGGCAGAGAAUCAUCAGCUAUAACAAGACAAUCUCCACUGACAACCUCAACCACCUUUCCCGUGAAAUUUUGGUCAUGAAUAGCCUUGGAAUUUGUUGCUGGAGCUACAUAGUUCGUCCAGAUUCUCAAGCGAGUCUUUUUGGCAUCAAGCUCAGCACUUUUCAGUUUCUUCUUGGCUUCAACUUCCAGCAUGUUGGCACUCCAAUCAACAUAUUUAGCAUAACCAUUUUCAAUAAGCUCCAAUCCCAGGUCCUUUGCCGAUUCUCCAUCAGGGUAGUACACCGAGCCAAUUAGAUUGCUAUACUUGUCAACACCCUCCAGGACAAUUCGAACAUCUCUAUUUAAGACACGAGUUUCGGUAAAAUGCUUUGCUUCUCUGCCGUAAGGAUCAGGUGCAACUUCUGUAACAGAUGCAGCUGAGGAUGCCAACCUCUGCGCUGAUGUCGGAGCUGCACGAUUUUCAGUAGUUGAUUCUCCAUUUGGUUCAUCAGAGGUAACACUGGCAUUGAUAACAGUUUCUGAUGUCGCUCUUCUUCCCAUCGUUGGUGCCUGUAUUCCAGCGACGAACACUUGGAUGAACUGGAAGUCUGGAAGCAAGUACACUCGCAGCGUACUACCAUCACGAACUUGCUCAACAAAUGCUUCUAUAAGCUUACCUUUACUUCGCUCCAAUAGUCCCAUUGCAUCAAAAUUACUAGAAUCACCAAUUGCAGAUGGAGGAAGAUUCCUAAUAGAUGCCUCAGAAGCACCAGGGGCCCUACUCCAACGACCUAGACCUUGUUGUUUGGCUUGUUCUUCAGCAUCUUGCAGUGGUUUCAAAUAAGGAUUAGCAUCUUUCUGUUGACCCUGCUCCCUGACCUUGGCCCAGCCUGCAGCAACAACUAGCAUGGAAACGUUCUUGUCACCAAUAAAAACAGUUCCAUAUUCUCGCCCUAUGGAAGGUACAGCAUAUUCCACCUUGAAAGUGACCUCCUUUCCAAUGCAAAGCUUCCUCAAGAAGUCUCUGCUUUGCCAUGCAAAUGGCUCAUCCACUCCACCACGACGUGCCAAUCGUGGAGCCAUUAGAGAUCCUAAGGUAAUAGAUUUUUCAGGGGGGAUUUCAGCCUUGGAACUACCCAUUAUCACCAAACUGUCACCAGAGGGAACAGCUUUCACUCUUCCCUUCAACCAUCCUGUUGAUGCCAUUUCAACUGCUAAAUGCCUGAAUGACUAGCGCUGAAUGGAUCGAUCGUAGACAGAGGAGAAGAGAGAAAGCAGAUUAACGUACGAAACAAAAGCAAAUCAGCUACCAAAUCAUGUGAAUUGGAUUGCUUCAGAACGACGGUAAACCGGAAUCCGGGCAGAGACGAGAAUGUCAACGCUGUGUUCGG